rnacentral:rRNA from 1 species
CGGAAUUACUGGGCGUAAAGCGCGCGUAGGCGGCUUUGCAAGCCGGAUGUGAAAUCCCCGGGCUUAACCUGGGAACUGCAUUCGGGACUGCAUUGCUAGAGUAUGGGAGAGGGAAGUGGAAUUUCAGGUGUAGCGGUGAAAUGCGUAGAUAUCUGAAGGAACAUCAGUGGCGAAAGCGACUUCCUGGACCAAUACUGACGCUCAUGUGCGAAAGCGUGGGGAGCAAACAGG